rnacentral:rRNA from 1 species
UCGUUCCUACGGGGGGCAGCAGUGAGGAAUAUUGGUCAAUAGUCGGGAGACUGAACCAGCCAAGCCGCGUGAGGGAGGAAGGUACAGAGUAUCGUAAACCUCUUUUGUCAGGGAACAAAGACUGGGACGCGUCCCCGGAUGAGUGUACCUGAAGAAAAAGCAUCGGCUAACUCCGUACCAGCAGCCGCGGUAAUACGGAGGAUGCGAGCGUUAUCCGGAUUUAUUGGGUUUAAAGGGUGCGCAGGCGGUCUGUUAAGUCAGCGGUCAAAGCCCGGGGCUCAACCCCGGCCCGCCGUUGAAACUGG